rnacentral:rRNA from 1 species
GGAAGGUGGGGAGUGAUGUCAAGUCAGCAUGGCCUUUAUAUCCUGGGCUACACACACGCUACAAUGGCCAACACAAUAGGUUGCUAAGCCGCGAGGUGGCGCCAAUCCAUAAAGUUGGUCUCAGUUCAGAUUGUAGGCUGCAACCCGCCUGCAUGAAGAUGGAGUUGCUAGUAACCGCAGGUCAGCAAUACUGCGGUGAAUACGUUCCCGGGUCUU